rnacentral:rRNA from 1 species
ACUUAAAUUGAAGAGUUUGAUCAUGGCUCAGAUUGAACGCUGGCGGCAGGCCUAACACAUGCAAGUCGAACGGUAACAGGAAGCAGCUUGCUGCUUUGCUGACGAGUGGCGGACGGGUGAGUAAUGUCUGGGAAACUGCCCGGUGGAGGGGGAUAACUACUGGAAACGGUAGCUAAUACCGUAUAACGUCGCAAGAC